GAUGAAGAACGCAGCGAAAUGCGAUAAGUAGUGUGAAUUGCAGAAUUCCGUGAAUCAUCGAAUCUUUGAACGCACAUUGCGCCUUCUGGUAUUCCGGAAGGCAUGCCUGUUCGAGAGUCAUUAACAACCGUUUCGAUCCCUUUCUUUCAGAAAUUACAAAGAGGAAAAGGGUUUGGUUAUGGUGGAGGAGGGAAAGGGAGCGUUUAGCCUGUAAAAAAAGAGGCUGUGUUCCGCCUCCCCCCCUAAAUUGUACAGGCGGUCGUGUGCGCCCACGCAUCGAGGUGUUGUAAAAGCUGCCACGGCACUUUUCACCUGUGCAGUGCGAGAUUGGCCAGCCGGUUUAAAAACCCCUCCAAACAAUCAAAGGUUGACCUCGGAUCAGGUAGGGAUACCCGCUGAACUUAAGCAUAUCAAUAAGCGGAGGA
rnacentral:misc_RNA from 1 species